rnacentral:rRNA from 1 species
GACGAACGCUGGCGGUGUGCCUAAUACAUGCAAGUCGAACGCUUCUUUCCUCCCGAGUGCUUGCACUCAAUUGGAAAGAGGAGUGGCGGACGGGUGAGUAACACGUGGGUAACCUACCCAUCAGAGGGGGAUAACACUUGGAAACAGGUGCUAAUACCGCAUAACAGUUUAUGCCGCAUGGCAUAAGAGUGAAAGGCGCUUUCGGGUGUCGCUGAUGGAUGGACCCGCGGUGCAUUAGAUAGUUGGUGAGGUAACGGCUCACCAAGGCCACGAUGCAUAGCCGACCUGAGAGGGUGAUCGGCCACACUGGGACUGAGACACGGCCCAGACUCCUACGGGAGGCAGCAGUAGGGAAUCUUCGGCAAUGGACGAAAGUCUGACCGAGCAACGCCGCGUGAGUGAAGAAGGUUUUCGGAUCGUAAAACUCUGUUGUUAGAGAAGAACAAGGACGUUAGUAACUGAACGUCCCCUGACGGUAUCUAACCAGAAAGCCACGGCUAACUACGUG